GAAUGACAUGUCAAUGAGGGAAUUAAGUCGUUUGAUUCAGGGGUGUUGAAAAAGGGAUCCAUCUAAAAGUUGCUCUCCUGUUGUAGAUCCUUUCAGUCUUUUCUUCAGCUCCUUCUGUUUUAUUAUGCAUCUCGUCUGAGUUUACCUGUUUGUCUUCUCUCCCAGCUGCAUCUUAUUUAUAAUUAACCACCUGCAUCCUUUCUGCAAUCACAGCGUCGAGGCUGCUGGAUUUUCAUUGUUCGUCAAAGGAUCCUUCCAUUACCCUGUCUGUCCGCUUCCUGCGUUACCACUUGGGGCAUCCUGAUCAGACACCAAAACUACCGGACUGACUUCUGUCAGCGCAACAGGUCCAGUCAAAGCUCCUUCUAGGUGAUGCAGCUCUUUAUCUGUGAGGAUCAGCCCAGCCACUCUACUGACUGUUUAUCCCAGCUGCAUGACUGAGAUAAUUGGCAACAGAAGUCCUAACAUGUUGUGCCAGGCGAAAACCAAACCAGAUCCCAUAACGCAUCUAUAUCCAACGCCCACCGACGGCGACUGCAGCGGAACAUCAAGCCGUGUUUGCAGCAAGUUUCCCCUUUGUUUGCUCUGCCGCAAAUUUGCACAGAUUAAGAUCAGCAAAUGAAGAUAAACAUUUCAGAGCGUUUCCAUCGCCCGUUUGUUCCUCAGCGAUGUGUAUCGUCAGUAAAUAUAAAUCCCGGGCUGCAAAAGGCUGCAGCGACUCGCAAAUGUUCAAGGAAACUAAAUCCCCACACAGCAACGUGUCCUACACUGUCCUGUCACAUGUCGAUCAUAGAUAUGAGUGAUAUAUUUUAAUGAUGUAAACAUUCACAGUUGUAAGUUGCAAAAUGAUUCUAAUUCUACCCUGGAAGAAGAAUUGUAAGACCUCAACCAUGUGUAUUUUGUAGUAAUUAAGCCUCUGAUUUAACUUUGGCUGGAAUGUUUGUCACUCUUUUUCUUUCAUGCAAAUCGUUUUUCCUGACACAGGACCCAGCUUUUAAACACUGAUUUUUACAUUUUCAGUACAACUGAGUCCUUUCCAAACUACUUUUGCUGUGCAAACAACCAGGAGUGUCUAAGUUUCAGCCAUCCAGUCGCUCUUUCUUUAUUUUUCCAGCCGUUAUGUAGAACUCAUCAGUGACGGCGUCAUUACAGCGUGUAAAGUCCCAUUGCAUGAUGCUUCCAUCACCAUGCUUGACAGUUCAGUUUUCUUAGGUUUGAAUGUAUCACCUUGACUUCUCCACAUGUAAUCCUUCUCAUGGUGGCAAAAACGACCCGAGACUCAGUUUGACUAUCAUGUUUCUCUUCACGAUUUUCAGUUUAGCUUAAAAGGAUCUGCAAAUUUUAGUUGGUGUUGGUUCCAGAGAGAGGACUUCUGAAUUGACCAACUUCUUCUCAGUCCAAGCAGAUGUAAAACAGCUUUAACUGCCAAUAGAGACAUUAGAAAUUGCGCAUCUGGAUUUCUGGUUGGUUCUUGAACAUCCCAAACAGCUGUCUUUCCCUUGUGUUUGACGGUUUUUAUCAGAUGGUUAAAACUUAAACAUGUGAGACUGUUUUGCUUGCAGUGACACUGAUGCAUUAGAUAUUGUGAAUUACUAACCAAUAUAUUUUUUAAAAACUUUAAAUCCCCCAGCUGGCUGGCUAGAAGAUCACAGGAUCUUCCAACAUGAUAAUGAUCCCAGAGACGCAUCAAAUGUGUGGUUUUGGAGUGGAUGACAUAAAGCAGCACUAAGCUUUCUGCAAUGGGCUAUACAGCAACCCCAUUUAAUAUUCAGGCUUUGUGAUUAAAACCCAGGUCUAUGCCAAGAGACCAGCGAAUUCAAACUAAUUCUACCAUUCCACCAGAGCGUGUAAAUAUCCAGCUGGAAAGCCUGGUGAUGCAGAAAGUGUGCGGUCUCUUUGCAACUUGAUAAAGAACAUUCACCAAGUAUUAAUGAGGGGGAAAUGCAAAUAAUCAACAAUACAUUUUAAAUUGUGCAGCCACUUUUGUUUAUAUAAUAUAUUGCAAUGAAGUUAAUGCAUCAUG